AAGCAUUUCAAAAGAACACUUUUUGGUCUGUUGCUUGUAUCUCUCCCAUGCUUCAUAGAGGGAUUCACCUUCUUUCUGUCAGAAGGUUUGAACAUUCACUCUAAGUUU